GACGAACGCUGGCGGCGUGCUUAACACAUGCAAGUCGAACGGAAAGGCCUCUUUCGGGGGGUACUCGAGUGGCGAACGGGUGAGUAACACGUGAGUAACCUGCCCUUGACUUUGGGAUAACUUCAGGAAACUGGGGCUAAUACCGGAUAGGAGCUCCUGCUGCAUGGUGGGGGUUGGAAAGUUUCGGCGGUUGGGGAUGGACUCGCGGCUUAUCAGCUUGUUGGUGGGGUAGUGGCUUACCAAGGCUUUGACGGGUAGCCGGCCUGAGAGGGUGACCGGCCACAUUGGGACUGAGAUACGGCCCAGACUCCUACGGGAGGCAGCAGUGGGGAAUAUUGCACAAUGGGUGGAAGCCUGAUGCAGCAACGCCGUGUGCGGGAUGACGACCUUCGGGUUGUAAACCGAUUUCGCUCAUGACGAAGCUUUGUGUGACGGUAGUGGGUAAAGAAGCACCGGCUAACUACGUG
rnacentral:rRNA from 1 species